GCAAUGCCGCGUGUGUGAAGAAGGCCUUCGGGUUGUAAAGCACUUUUGUCCGGAAAGAAAUCCUUGGCUCUAAUACAGUCGGGGGAUGACGGUACCGGAAGAAUAAGCACCGGCUAACUACGUGCCAGCAGCCGCGGUAAUACGUAGGGUGCGAGCGUUAAUCGGAAUUACUGGGCGUAAAGCGUGCGCAGGCGGUUUGCUAAGACCGAUGUGAAAUCCCCGGGCUCAACCUGGGAACUGCAUUGGUGACUGGCAGGCUAGAGUAUGGCAGAGGGGGGUAGAAUUCCACGUGUAGCAGUGAAAUGCGUAGAGAUGUGGAGGAAUACCGAUGGCGAAGGCAGCCCCCUGGGCCAAUACUGACGCUCAUGCACGAAAGCGUGGGGAGCAAACAGGAUUAGAUACCCUGGUAGUCCACGCCCUAAACGAUGUCAACUAGUUGUUGGGGAUUCAUUUCCUUAGUAACGUAGCUAACGCGUGAAGUUGACCGCCUGGGGAGUACGGUCGCAAGAUUAAAACUCAAAGGAAUUGACGGGGACCCGCACAAGCGGUGGAUGAUGUGGAUUAAUUCGAUGCAACGCGAAAAACCUUACCUACCCUUGACAUGGUCGGAAUCCUGCUGAGA
rnacentral:rRNA from 7 species